UAAUACGAAGGGUGCUAGCGUUGUUCGGAAUCACUGGGCGUAAAGCGCGCGUAGGUGGCUUUACAAGUCAGGGGUGAAAUCCCAGAGCUUAACUCUGGAAUUGCCUUUGAAACUGUAAAGCUAGAGUAUUGGAGGGGAUAGCGGAAUUGCUAAUGUAGAGGUGAAAUUCGUAGAUAUUAGCAGGAACACCGGUGGCGAAGGCGGCUAUCUGGACAAUUACUGACACUCUGGCGCGAAAGCGUGGGGAUCAAACAGGAUUAGAUACCCUGGUAGUCCACGCUGUAAACGAUGGAUACUAGCCGUUGGGGGGUUACCCCUCAGUGGCGUAGCUAACGCGUUAAGUAUCCCGCCUGGGGAGUACGGUCGCAAGAUUA
rnacentral:rRNA from 1 species